rnacentral:rRNA from 1 species
GAGGAAGUAAAAGUCGUAACAAGGUUUCCGUAGGUGAACCUGCGGAAGGAUCAUUAAUGAAACUUCAAAGUCGGCCAAAGGUUGUUGCUGGUGAUUAUUCACAUGUGCACGCCUUUGGUCGCAAAUCCACACACACCUGUGCAUCUAUGACUCGAGGUUGUAAUGACUGAGAGUAACUUUUAUACACUCUUGUAUGUAAUGGAAUGUCUUUUUGUGCUAUAAUGUACAAUAUAAACAACUUUCAACAACGGAUCUCUUGGCUCUCGCAUCGAUGAAGAACGCAGCGAAAUGCGAUAAGUAAUGUGAAUUGCAGAAUUCAGUGAAUCAUCGAAUCUUUGAACGCACCUUGCACCCUUUGGUAUUCCGAAGGGUACGCCCGUUUGAGUGUCAUUGUAAUCUCACUUCUACAACUUUAUUGUUGUUUGAAUGUGGACUUGGAUGUUGCCGUUUUAUCACGGCUCGUCUUAAAUGCCUGAGUGUACCCUGUUUUGCAGCGUAUCCAGUGUAAUAAACAUUUCACUAGAGUUGGUCGAAAGACCGCGUUGACUAUAUGGGCUCUAUGCUUCAAACCGUCUGCCAUGUGGACAAUUUCUUGACAAUUUGACCUCAAAUCGGGUGGGACUACCCGCUGAACUUAAGCAUAUCAAUAAGCGGAGGAAAAGAAACUAACAAGGAUUCCCCUAGUAACGGCGAGUGAAGAGGGAAAAGCUCAAAUUUUAAAUCUGGUGUCUUUGACUCCCGAGUUGUAAUCUAGAGAAGUGUUUUCCGUGUCGGACCGUGUACAAGUUCCCUGGAACGGGGCGUCAUAGAGGGUGAGAAUCCCGUAUAUGCCACGGACUACCGAUGCUCUGUGAUACACUCUCAACGAGUCGAGUUGUUUGGGAAUGCAGCUCAAAAUGGGUGGUAAAUUCCAUCUAAAGCUAAAUAUUGGCGAGAGACCGAUAGCGAACAAGUACCGUGAGGGAAAGAUGAAAAGCACUUUGGAAAGAGAGUGAAACAGUACGUGAAAUUGUUGAAAGGGAAGCGUUUGAAGUCAGUCGCAUCUGUUGGGGUUCAGCCUGGCUUUUGCCUGGUGUAUUUCCUUUCCGAUGGGUCAGCAUCAGUUUUGACCGAGGGAAAAAGACAUUUGGAAUGUGGCUGUCUUCGGGCAGUGUUAUAGCCUUGUGUUGUAUGUCUCGGUUGGGACUGAGGAUUGCAGCGCGCCAUAAAUGGCCGGGGGUCGCUCCUCUCGACACGCGCUUAGGAUGCUGGCAUAAUGGCUUUAAGCGACCCGUCUUG